rnacentral:rRNA from 1 species
AUUGAACGCUGGCGGCAUGCCUUACACAUGCAAGUCGAACGGCAUCGCGGGAACGCUUGCUUUCCUGGCGGCGAGUGGCGCACGGGUGAGUAACACAUCGGAACGUACCGGCUAGUGGGGGAUAACCCGUCGAAAGACGGGCUAAUACCGCAUACGCUCUUCGGAGGAAAGCAGGGGACCUUUGGGCCUUGCGCUAGCCGAGCGGCCGAUGUCCGAUUAGCUAGUUGGUGGGGUAAAGGCCUACCAAGGCGACGAUCGGUAGCGGGUCUGAGAGGACGAUCCGCCACACUGGGACUGAGACACGGCCCAGACUCCUACGGGAGGCAGCAGUGGGGAAUCUUGGACAAUGGGGGCAACCCUGAUCCAGCAAUGCCGCGUGGGUGAAGAAGGCCUUCGGGUUGUAAAGCCCUUUCGGCAGGGAAGAAAUCGGCGGGGCGAAUAACCCUGCUGGAUGACGGUACCUGCAGAAGAAGCACCGGCUAACUACGUG